GACGAACGCUGGCGGCGUGCUUAACACAUGCAAGUCGAAUGAUGAACCGGAGCUUGCUCCGGGGAUUAGUGGCGAACGGGUGAGUAACACGUGGGCAACCUGCCCCAGACAUCGGGAUAACCAUUCGAAAGGAUGGCUAAUACCGGAUAUGACCACUUCGGGCAUCCGAUGGUGGUGGAAAGGAUUCUGGUCUGGGAUGGGCCCGCGGCCUAUCAGCUAGUUGGUGGGGCAAUGGCCUACCAAGGCGACGACGGGUAGCCGGCCUGAGAGGGCGACCGGCCACACUGGGACUGAGACACGGCCCAGACUCCUACGGGAGGCAGCAGUGGGGAAUAUUGCGCAAUGGGCGAAAGCCUGACGCAGCGACGCCGCGUGAGGGACGAAGGUCUUCGGAUUGUAAACCUCUUUCAGCAGGGACGAGGCGAAAGUGACUGUACCUGCAGAAGAAGCACCGGCUAACUACGUGCCAGCAGCCGCGGUAAU
rnacentral:rRNA from 1 species